AUUGAACGCUGGCGGGAUGCUUUACACAUGCAAGUCGAACGGCAGCGCGGACUUCGGUCUGGCGGCGAGUGGCGAACGGGUGAGUAAUGUAUCGGAACGUGCCCAGUAGCGGGGGAUAACUACGCGAAAGCGUAGCUAAUACCGCAUACGCCCUACGGGGGAAAGCAGGGGAUCGUAAGACCUUGCACUAUUGGAGCGGCCGAUAUCGGAUUAGCUAGUUGGUGGGGUAACGGCUCACCAAGGCGACGAUCCGUAGCUGGUUUGAGAGGACGACCAGCCACACUGGGACUGAGACACGGCCCAGACUCCUACGGGAGGCAGCAGUGGGGAAUUUUGGACAAUGGGGGCAACCCUGAUCCAGCCAUCCCGCGUGUGCGAUGAAGGCCUUCGGGUUGUAAAGCACUUUUGGCAGGAGAGAAACGGCGCGGGCUAAUACCCCGUGGAACUGACGGUACCUGCAGAAUAAGCACCGGCUAACUACGUG
rnacentral:rRNA from 1 species